rnacentral:lncRNA from 1 species
UUUCAUCCACCACAACACAUUACAUUUCACAAUUUAAUCUUUAUCAUCAUAUAUAGAUUUAUUGAUUCAAAAAAACGUACGCAUGACUUUGUCUUAUAGAAAGAUCCUUUCAAGAGUUUUGGUCCUUGUACUAAUCAUAAUCAACAUUUUUAUUACUUCUCAAUCAGGAGUAGAAUGCAGGCCAUUAUUAUUGCAUUAUUAUCAAUGGUCGUGGGAUCAUGGCCUUCUUUUGCAAUCGCUUCCAAAUGGUCCUGCGCCUGGCACAAAGGGAGAUACCACUCAUCCCUAAGCUACAUAUACACCUUCAAUUCAAAUUUAUUAAAUAUGGACCAUACUAUAUGAUUGCUCAGGAAGCUGCUUGCAACCAAAUCAAUCUUACUUUUUUAUGAUAUAUGCGAUUUAUGAAGUAGUUAAUAACUCUCGUGGUCGAAGCUCCACGUGUCCGUGGAUUUUAUAUAUCAUGCUUUAAUUAUUUUAUUUUUUUAUAGAUUGCAUGUCUCACAUGCAAUAAACAAGGAUAUGGUAUUCCUUAUAGAUUCUUGUAUUCACAUUCAAUUUCAAUCAUCCUACGGAAUAUAUAUGAGAUAUAUAAAUAAUAUAUAUGAAUAAUUGUUAUGUGUUGACAAGGUAACACUUUUUAUAUUGAUUGUACAUGAUAAUUAAACUCUUUAUAAAGGAAAGUUACUCCUUUAAAAGUGAUUGUUUUUUCUUGCUAAUUACUCCUCAAUAAAUUUCCUUUGAGAGUAACUAGAUCUAUUUAAUAGGAGUUUUAACAUACA